GUGGUGACGCGGGGGCAGAGCGGGGCUUGGCACCGCUGACCAGCUUUCGGAUGGAGAUUUCUUGCCGAUCCAACAGAAUCUCCCCCUCUGAUGCAGCCUUCCUCUCACUCCCAGGCCCUGAUGCCAAGCAGUUCCUGCCCCCUCCUCA